UACCAAAUUGAACGAUACGAGUCUGAGAAAUCGAAUCUUCGCUCACAAGUUGACUUUUUCCAGCAAAAGUUAUGUGAAAUGAGCUCAGAAUUGCUGAAAUUUCGACAACAGCAGAAUUCUGAUUCUAUGAACCUCAGAAUUGAAUUGGAUGAUCAAAAGAAUCAAAACACCUUGCUUAAACACAAUUUGGAUGCUGCGACUUCAAAAUAUCAAGUUCUUGAUAAAGCCUAUCAGGAGUGUGUGAAGCGGAUUUCUGAAUCACAGAAUUUACAAAAUCAACUUGAAAAAAAU